rfam:Trichobilharzia regenti genome assembly, scaffold: TRE_scaffold0018828
GUACUGAUGAAGAGUCUCAAACUAGGACGAAACGGCUGUCCAGUAC